AGAUAUUAUCCCCUUGUAGUGUAGUUUAAUAGCUAUCUACAUAUUAACUUAAUAUAAAGUAUAAUAGUUUAUAUUUUAUAAUAUGACGUUAACAAUUUUGUUUAAUAUUUGAAAAUGUUAGUAUUAGUAAUAUUAGUAUAUGUGCUAAAGGAACUCGGCAAAAAACCACUCAACUGUUUAUCAAAAACAUAGCUAUAUGAAUUAAUAUAUAGUUAUUUCUGCUCAAUGAUUUAAAUAGCCGCAGUACUCUGACUGUGCAAAGGUAGCAUAAUCAGUUGGCUUUUAAUUAGAGUCUGGUAUGAACGAAAAUAUGGGUAGUAACUGUCUUAGCACAUUUUUUCGAACUUAUUAAACAAGUGCAAAUGCUUGUAAUUUAACAAUAGACGAGAAGACCCUAGAAACUUGGACAAGUUUUUGUUGGGGCGACAGAAUUACACUUAACUAAUCUUAUAAUACACGACGCGAUGUUGAAAGAAUAAGUUACUCUAGGGAUAACAGCAUAAUUUCAUUAGUUUGUGACCUCGAUGUUGGACUAGGUACUAUACCCUUAAGGCAAGGAUAUAUUAUGCUCUGUUCGAGCAAAAUUACCUACAUGAUCUGAGUUCAGACCGG
rnacentral:rRNA from 1 species